rnacentral:pre_miRNA from 1 species
AAUAAACACAGUGAUGAUUUUCCGUGUCCAACUUUAAUCGUCCGUCUUAUUUAAUUUUUUUUAAAAAAACUAAAAAACAUAAGUCACGCAUAAAGUAUUAUUCAUAUUUUAUAAUCCAAUAACAAUAAAAAUACGAUUCAUAAAAAAUCUUAAAUAAGACGGAUGAAAUUUAUAGAUGCGUUAUUUUGAGACUGAGGUAGUA